rnacentral:rRNA from 1 species
GUGCCAGCAGCCGCGGUAAUACGAAGGGUGCAAGCGUUAAUCGGAAUUACUGGGCGUAAAGGGUGCGUAGGCGGUUGGUUAAGUCUGUUGUGAAAUCCCCGGGCUCAACCUGGGAAUGGCAAUGGAUACUGGCGAGCUAGAGUGUGUCAGAGGAUGGUGGAAUUCCCGGUGUAGCGGUGAAAUGCGUAGAGAUCGGGAGGAACAUCAGUGGCGAAGGCGGCCAUCUGGGACAACACUGACGCUGAAGCACGAAAGCGUGGGGAGCAAACAGGAUUAGAUACCCUGGUAGUCCACGCCCUAAACGAUGCGAACUGGAUGUUGGUCUCAACUCGGAGAUCAGUGUCGAAGCUAACGCGUUAAGUUCGCCGCCUGGGGAGUACGGUCGCAAGACUGAAACUCAAAGGAAUUGACGGGGGCCCGCACAAGCGGUGGAGUAUGUGGUUUAAUUCGAUGCAACGCGAAGAACCUUACCUGGCCUUGACAUGUCCGGAAUCCUGCAGAGAUGCGGGAGUGCCUUCGGGAAUCGGAACACAGGUGCUGCAUGGCUGUCGUCAGCUCGUGUCGUGAGAUGUUGGGUUAAGUCCCGCAACGAGCGCAACCCUUGUCCUUAGUUGCCAGCACGUCAUGGUGGGAACUCUAAGGAGACUGCCGGUGACAAACCGGAGGAAGGUGGGGAUGACGUCAAGUCCUCAUGGCCCUUACGGCCAGGGCUACACACGUACUACAAUGGUCGGUACAGAGGGUUGCGAAGCCGCGAGGUGGAGCCAAUCCCAGAAAGCCGAUCCCAGUCCGGAUCGAAGUCUGCAACUCGACUUCGUGAAGUCGGAAUCGCUAGUAAUCGCGGAUCAGCUAUGCCGCGGUGAAUACGUUCCCGGGCCUUGUACACACCGCCCGUCACACCAUGGGAGUGGGUUGCUCCAGAAGCCGUUAGUCUAACCGCAAGGAGGACGACGACCACGGAGUGGUUCACGACUGGGGUGAAGUCGUAACAAGGUAACC